rnacentral:lncRNA from 1 species
AGAGCCGGGUAUUGAGCGGUCCGGGUCUCUGCUGCUCAAAGUAAAGACCGUUUGAGAAGGCGGGGAGAGAUCGAAGAAGCUGCUUUAUCUUACAGUCACCCAAGGGGGAACGCCUUCUUCCUUCCCAGAGUGGAGUGGCAGUGGGUCCAGGAUUCUGGGAUAUGCACAGGGUCUGCGCCCUGCGCCCUGUCCGCGCUGAAGCUGGACUUGUCAUUGGUUUGCAACAGCAUGGUGAAGAAGUGUGGUGUGGAUGGAUGGACGGGCCUCUCAGGCACAGGAAAUACUCAAAAGCCCAGUAUUAACCAAACAUGUUUCUCUGUUUUGUCUUUGAUCUUUGUGCAGUGUGUUGGCUUUUUUCCUUUAACGAUGUCACUUGCAUUUUAUUUUUGGUUUAUUUGUAGACUGUCUCCCUCCUUGGCCAUGGCUUUACUUUUAUGUCCACCCAAGGAGAGUUUCACCAGUUUAGGUUUAAGAAAUUACUGACAAGUUAACAAUAAUAAUUUCAAAAUUGAACAAUAAUAACUUAAACCGUGCCUUGGACAUAGUAGAUCUCCAACAGUGUUUCUUGAAUGUGGCUACCUAAUGUGGAACAAGAUUUUUCAUAAUUACAUGUUGCUAUUUUUAAUACUUUUUGGGAGGUUCUUUAGUCCCCCCCCCCCCACGUUGCACAAACAGACUGGUCUACAAGGGGUCCUGUUGGUUUUCUGGUUUUGUGGGGUCCUGGAAUAUUGUUUGGGCUUAUUGAGAGUUAACAAGGAUGUAUUUUGUGAGUUUCUCCAAACUCUUAUUUUGAGUAAUAGUAUUUCAAAGCAAGAAGUGUUUUAGAGAAAACAUUCUGCCUCUUGUUUAACAGGUGAGGAAACUGAGGAAAAAUCAGCUUACCUGGCAAAUCAACCACAAGUGCAGAUAGUUCCACAAUGACUCAAUGGAUAUUACUUCAACUUUGUUCCCUCAAGAACCUUUUGUGAUUAAGCUUGUUGAUUUGUGGCUUGAUGGUUUACAGGAAUGGCCAUUUUUAAUAUCUAGGACCCUGCUUGCUUGCUUGCUUACUAGACUGGCUGCAUAGUCGUCUUCCACGUGUAAACAAUAGUGUGUGCUUUAGUGGAUAAGAGAUGUUGAGUGCUGAGAUUGCAGGGCUCAGCACUUAGACCUAGAGCAUUUUUAUUUAUACUAAAUUAAUGCCAUGGUAACAUAAGUUAGAGAGCAAGUGAAUAUGGCAUCAAAUGUACAAAGUUGAGUAUCUCUUUACUAGUCAAUGUAUAAGGAAUUUAUUUACCCAAGCAAUUAUUUUAAAAACAGCAUUACAAGUGGUAUGUAAACAUUUCCAGAAUUUAUUUCCACAUCUGCUCUUUCAGUGGCAUCAUCCAUUCCUGAGCUCAAGAAAAGGCCUCUGCCAACCCCCAGUAAUCCUGCUUUUUUAGUAAUCCUACUUUUUUUUUUUUUUUAACUUUAAGUUCUGGGAUACAUGUGCAGAACGUGCAGGUUUGUUACAUAGGUAUACAUAUGCCAUGGUGGUUUACUGCACCUAUCAACCCGUCAUCUAGGUUUUAAGCCCUGCAUUGAUUAGGUAUUUGUCCUAAUUCUCUCCCUCCCCUUUCUGCCACCCCCCGACAGGCCCCAGUAUGUGAUAUUACCCUCCCUGUGUCCAUGUGUUCUCAUUGUUCAACUCCCACUUAUGAGUGAGAACAUGCAGAGUUUGGUUUUCUGUUGUGUUACUUUGCUUAGAAUGAUGGCUUCCAGCUUCAUCCAUGUCCCUGCAAAUGACAAGAACUCAUUCUUUUUAUGGCUGCAUAGUAUUCCAUGGUAUAUAUGUGCCACAUUGUCUUUAUCCAGUCUAUCAUCAAUGGCAUUUGGGUUGGUUCCAAGUCUUUGCUAUUGUAAAUAGCACUGCAGUAAACAUACAUGUGCAUGUGU